AACGGUCUAUACCUGCGGUACCUGCGGAAGGAUCAUUACAGAGAACUUGCCCGUCUGGGUAGAUCUCCCACCCUUUGUUUACUAUACCUUUGUUGCUUUGGCAAGCCUGUCUUGUGACUACUGGCCUCCAGCUAGUAAGUGCUUGCCAGAGGACCCCAAACACUUUACAUUGUGUUGUCUGAGUAGUACAGAAAUUUUUAAAACUUUUAACAACGGAUCUCUAGAUCGGAAGAGCACACG
rnacentral:misc_RNA from 1 species